CGCCAUCACCCAUCUUCUCUGGUUGUCGGUCGAGUCAGAGGGGCUGCUUAAGCGGGAGAUAUCCCGACUCAAGCGCCGAUGACACGUCACCGGUGAGGAGCUUGAAAGAAUGGAUCUCAACCGCACUAUAUGAAGCUUCGGGAGGGAAGGAAAGACUAAGAGUGCUCAGCGGAAUCAUAGGAGCUCUUGGAGCAUGCACAUGCGACUGGAUGCAACAGGCGAGCUCAAACUGCUUGAGUUCGUCGGCCAUGGCGGCGGCCGUUCUCGGAGCUCGCGGGGAUGACGCUAUAGUGCAAAUUAAAGCAGAGGAGAUGGGGGAAAUCAAAGAGGGAGAAAACGACCCGAGAAAGAUUGCAACAAGACCAUUGUUGUAGAUAAAUGAGCGCAAUAUUGAGUUUGUUGCAGAGAUCAACGACUACUUGACACUCCAUCCAACGGCUACUGAGACGGCCGAUCUUUUCAGAUUAUCCGUCGAUCAACGCGUAGCGCUGCCCUUAUUACAUUGGAAUGGUGAUUUUCUUGAUAAAACAACAAUGUGACAUAAAACUCCAACCAAAAUGGUGCUUCAGUCCGAUGGCUUCUACAUUUCCAUAUCCUAGAAGGUCACACAAGAAUUAUAUAGUGAAGUCAUGACCAGGGUCUUUUACAGGAGUUCUUGUACAUCACUCUCCAUAUCGGCACCUUUAACCCCUAUGUGAACAAAUGAAAAGUUUCCAUGUUAAAAAUUCUAUCUAUAUAAUUCAUAUAUCCACAUAUCCAUUGCUCGA